GCACAUGCGCGGCCCGCUGCGCGGAAAAGGCGCGCAACCCGCGGGCGCACUGCGCAUGUGCGGCCGGUACCGGCGGUGGCGGAAGGACGCCGCGGCCCGGCGGCGGCAAUGGCGCGGCGCGUCGUGAGGGGCCUGCUGCUGCUGGAGGCGGCGGGGCUGCUCGGCGCACUCCUGCUCUACCGCGCUAUGGACCGCAGCCAAGAUUUCAGAUACACAAUGCAGAAGAAGUUCCCAUCAAUUCUGGAAGUGUAUUACAGAUCCAAUGAGUGGUCUGGAAUUCACGGCAUAAGGGAGAAUGACCAAAUGGCAUGGUUAAGCAGCAAGAACUGAAGUAAGAAAGCCCUCUGUGUCUGAACUGUUUCUUCCUUUUGAUGAUGCUUUUCACAUCCCUGUCGUGAAGCCACUUGUCGCGCUCUAUUUCCCACUGGAUCUGUUUGAUAUCUUUAAGAGGAAAGGUGAGAAAUAAGGAGUCAACGGCUAUCUCUGAUCAUGAUGUAAAAUACAGAUGAAACAUGUAACAGUUAAAACUUUGCUACUGUAUUUAUAAAUGUUAAUAAAGUGCAAGCUGCCUUUUUGUUUUUUUGACACCA